rnacentral:rRNA from 1 species
CAUCAACGCUGGCGGCGUGCCUAACACAUGCAAGUCGAACGCGAAAAGGGCUUCGGCCCUUAGUAGAGUGGCGUCCGGGUGAGUAACACGUAGGUAAUCUGCCUUCGGGUGGGGAAUAACGCCUCGAAAGAGGCGCUAAUACCGCAUAAUGCGGCUGGGGCUUAUGCCCCGGGCCGUUAAAGCGGGGGACCGAAAGGCCUCGCGCCUGGAGAGGAGCCUGCGGCAGAUUAGCUAGUUGGCGGGGUAACGGCCCGACCAAGGCUUCGAUCUGUAGCUGGUCUGAGAGGACGGCCAGCCACACUGGCACUGACACACGGGCCAGACUCCUACGGGAGGCAGCA